UGCAGCCUACGGGGGGCAGCAGUGGGGAAUAUUGGGCAAUGGGCGCAAGCCUGACCCAGCAACGCCGCGUGAAGGAAGAAGGCUUUCGGGUUGUAAACUUCUUUUAUCAGGGACGAAGCAAGUGACGGUACCUGAUGAAUAAGCCACGGCUAACUACGUGCCAGCAGCCGCGGUAAUACGUAGGUGGCAAGCGUUGUCCGGAUUUAUUGGGCGUAAAGCGAGUGCAGGCGG
rnacentral:rRNA from 1 species